rnacentral:rRNA from 15 species
GGCGAGCGAACCGGGACCAGGCCAGUGCCUUCAUUUCAACUAGCAGAACACUUUGGAAAGAGUGGCCAUAGCGGGUGACAGCCCCGUAUGCGAAAGUGAGACUUCAGGACUCGAGUAGGGCGGGACACGUGAAAUCCUGUCUGAACAUGGGGGGACCACCCUCCAAGCCUAAAUACUCGUACAUGACCGAUAGCGAACACAGUACCGUGAGGGAAAGGUGAAAAGCACCCCGAUGAGGGGAGUGAAACAGUACCUGAAACGGAUUGCCUACAAGCAGUUGGAGGAUC